UCAAGGCUUCUUAGGACUUAUCUUUUAAUUUCUUACUGUCAAUUCUUUCUUUAUUUCUACUUGUGCUGAAUCAUUAUCUAAUCUAUUUUCUGUUCUUAUUGUGUUUUCAGCCUUUUCCUAUCUUAAGGAAUCAGCCCAAAAAUCCCCAAUUUCUAGGGUUUUUCCAUACUCUUUUUGGGUGAAAUUAGAUUGUCGAAAUUUGGGGAAAACUAUCUUGGUG
rnacentral:lncRNA from 1 species